AACGAACGCUGGCGGCAUGCCUAACACAUGCAAGUCGAACGAGACCUUCGGGUCUAGUGGCGCACGGGUGCGUAACGCGUGGGAACCUGCCUUUAGGUUCGGAAUAACUCAGAGAAAUUUGAGCUAAUACCGGAUGAUGUCUUCGGACCAAAGAUUUAUCGCCUUUAGAUGGGCCCGCGUUGGAUUAGCUAGUUGGUGGGGUAAAGGCCUACCAAGGCGACGAUCCAUAGCUGGUCUGAGAGGAUGAUCAGCCACACUGGGACUGAGACACGGCCCAGACUCCUACGGGAGGCAGCAGUGGGGAAUAUUGGACAAUGGGGGAAAGCCUGAUCCAGCAAUGCCGCGUGAGUGAUGAAGGCCUUAGGGUUGUAAAGCUCUUUUACCCGAGAUGAUAAUGACAGUAUCGGGAGAAUAAGCUCCGGCUAACUCCGUG
rnacentral:rRNA from 1 species